rnacentral:tRNA from 1 species
GGGUCGUUAGCUCAGUUGGUAGAGCAGUUGACCUUUAAUCAAUUGGUCGCUGGUUCGAAUCCUGCACGACCCACCA